rnacentral:rRNA from 1 species
GUGCACAUCUUGACGGUACCUAAUCAGAAAGCCACGGCUAACUACGUGCCAGCAGCCGCGGUAAUACGUAGGUGGCAAGCGUUAUCCGGAAUUAUUGGGCGUAAAGCGCGCGUAGGCGGUUUUUUAAGUCUGAUGUGAAAGCCCACGGCUCAACCGUGGAGGGUCAUUGGAAACUGGAAAACUUGAGUGCAGAAGAGGAAAGUGGAAUUCCAUGUGUAGCGGUGAAAUGCGCAGAGAUAUGGAGGAACACCAGUGGCGAAGGCGACUUUCUGGUCUGUAACUGACGCUGAUGUGCGAAAGCGUGGGGAUCAAACAGGAUUAGAUACCCUGGUAGUCCACGCCGUAAACGA